rnacentral:rRNA from 1 species
GUGCUUGCUUGGGGGAUUAGUGGCGAACGGGUGAGUAACACGUGAGUAACCUGCCCUUGACUCUGGGAUAAGCCUGGGAAACUGGGUCUAAUACCGGAUAUGACCUUCCAUCGCAUGGUGGUUGGUGGAAAGCUUUUGUGGUUUUGGAUGGACUCGCGGCCUAUCAGCUUGUUGGUGGGGUAAUGGCUUACCAAGGCGACGACGGGUAGCCGGCCUGAGAGGGUGACCGGCCACACUGGGACUGAGACACGGCCCAGACUCCUACGGGAGGCAGCAGUGGGGAAUAUUGCACAAUGGGCGCAAGCCUGAUGCAGCGACGCCGCGUGAGGGAUGACGGCCUUCGGGUUGUAAACCUCUUUCAGUAGGGAAGAAGCGUAAGUGACGGUACCUGCAGAAGAAGCGCCGGCUAACUACGUGCCAGCAGCCGCGGUAAUACGUAGGGCGCAAGCGUUAUCCGGAAUUAUUGGGCGUAAAGAGCUCGUAGGCGGUUUGUCGCGUCUGCCGUGAAAGUCCGGGGCUCAACUCCGGAUCUGCGGUGGGUACGGGCAGACUAGAGUGAUGUAGGGGAGACUGGAAUUCCUGGUGUUCAGCUCGUGUC